AGUGAACGCUGGCGGCGUGCUUAACACAUGCAAGUCGAGCGAGAUUCUACAGCACACCGUAGAGUCUAGCGGCAGACGGGGAGUAACACGUAGGAAACUUUCCCUGAAAUGGAGGAUACCCCCGAGAAAUCGGGGCUAAUACUGCAUAAGACCACAUUCCGGCAUCGGAAAGAGGUCAAAGGCCCGCAAGGGUCGUUUCGGGAUGGUCCUGCGUCCUAUCAGCUAGUUGGUGAGGUAACGGCUCACCAAGGCUAUGACGGGUAGCCGGCCUGAAAGGGCGAUCGGCCACACUGGAACUGAGACACGGUCCAGACUCCUACGGGAGGCAGCAGUGGGGAAUUUUGGACAAUGGGCGAAAGCCUGAUCCAGCAACGCCGCGUGAAGGAUGACGGUCUUCGGAUUGUAAACUUCUUUUAGAGGGAACGAAAAAAAUGACGGUACUCUCAGAAAAAGCCACGGCUAACUACGUGCCAGCAGCCGCCGUAA
rnacentral:rRNA from 1 species